UGGGGAAUAUUGGGCAAUGGGGGAAACCCUGACCCAGCAACGCCGCGUGAAGGAAGAAGGCCUUCGGGUUGUAAACUUCUUUUACCAGGGACGAAGGACGUGACGGUACCUGGAGAAAAAGCAACGGCUAACUACGUGCCAGCAGCCGCGGUAAUACGUAGGUUGCAAGCGUUGUCCGGAUUUACUGGGUGUAAAGGGCGUGUAGGCGGAGAUGCAAGUCAGGAGUGAAAUCCCGGGGCUCAACCCGGACUGCUUUUGAAACUGUAUCCCUUGAGUGUCGGAGAGGCAAGCGGAAUUCCUAGUGUAGCGGUGAAAUGCGUAGAUAUUAGGAGGAACACCAGUGGCGAAGGCGGCUUGCUGGACGAUAACUGACGCUGAGGCGCGAAAGCGUGGGGAGCAAACAGGAUUAGAUACCCUGGUAGU
rnacentral:rRNA from 1 species